GGCUGCAAGUUCAUCAAUUGAUGUUCCACCACAAACUUGUUUCUAAGAUUUCUUAUUCCUGAUGAAUGACAUGAAUGAAGCUCCAAGAGUACAAGAAAAAUGAAAAUAAAAUGAACCACUUUUGUUAUAUGAAGGUUGACAACUCUGGUUUUUUUAUAUAUCAAGCGCAAGGCCGAGCUCUGGUUCGACACCGCCCUCACUCACGCCCCUUCUCCUUUCAUGCCUAGAAUCAAGACCGGUAGAUCUUUCACCAUGGAAAGCUUAUGCGAUUUUAGUGUAGCAGAUCAGAUGCAGAAGGAGUUCAUCGUCCGAUUUGAAAAUUAAUGGUACUUCGGAAACUAUGUCUGAAACCGUGCUUAGUCCAGUUGAGUUAAAGGAAGAAGUAAUUUCUUCAGAGACCAAAGAAGAAAAUGUCAUAGUGAAUUCUGCUGAUAAAGGUUCAAAGGAGGGUGGCAAAGGGGAAGCAAGAGUACUGAGAAACAUGACAGAGCAUCAGCUACGAUAGUUUCUUCUUCUUCUGAUGUGAAAAGUGAAGCGAAUAGUGAUAAAGAGAAUAGCAAACCUUCUGUUCAAGCAGAAAAAGAAGCUUGCACUCCUGUGCCACCGAAUCCUGGGACCAACUCCAAGAAGCACCAGACAGCUAAAAAGAUUGCUAUUUUAGUUAGAAACCCAUCAGCCUUGAAGCCAAAAAGUCAGAUAAAGUCGUCACAAUCCAAAACCCCCAAACCAUCUUUGUUUGAAAAGUGAAACAAAUGUGAAAAGCACUGCUGGGACUCUCACUUUGGCCCAGGAGAAUCAGGCAAUUAAGCGACAGAAGUUGGAAGGAGGACAAUCUAGACAGAUUCUUAGCCUCAAACCGCAUAAUUUGCCCCACAAGACAAAAUCGGGUCUUGUAAGUGGCAGUUCCAACUUCUGCCCAUCAACUGUGAAUAGAGCUAAAAAAGAUGAAAGAAAGAUUUAUGUUCGAGAAGGAGCAGCACCAGCACAAGCUCCUCCAUUUGUUUCAGCUGCUGAAAUGAUGAAGAAGUUCCAAUCAAGUACCAGAGACCCUUGUCGUUGCCUCACACUGGUUCUCAGAUGAAGCCUAGACUCACAUUGACAAGGCCCAAGGAACCUGAGUUUGAAACAGCUCAACGAGCACGCUCACAUUAAAAGCUCUGUUAAGAUGAGCACGCUCAACGAGCUUGAAGAAGAGAUGAUGGCCAAAAUUCCCAAGUUUAAAGCACGUCCAUUGAACAAGAAGGAGAGCCCAUAGAAUACUGCUUGUUAACAACAUCAAUUGGCGUAUCUUGGAUCUCACCUGAACUGGGGAAAAGGAGCCUGUCCCUGGCCGCAGAAGAUUCAAUAGCAACCAUAGCAGCAUGGCGUAAAGGGUGCCAACAACCA